rnacentral:lncRNA from 1 species
CUAGGGAUGCAAUCGGGUCAGCCCACCGAGUUUCGGGCCAGCCCUAUCAGAUUUCGGGUUAAUCGGGUGCGGGUUAGUCGAACUGAGGAUUUUGUCAGGUUAUAUAUUUUUGGAUAUAUAUUUGGUAUUAUUAAAGAAAUUUGUUUAGCUAAAGGUGAGCUUGAUACCAAGAAUUGAGAGUACGUACUACUUUAGAAUCAAGAAGAAAAAUAAUACUCACAAAACUUGCAUAAAUAUGCUCAAAUUAAUAAUAAUUCAAAAUUAGCAUACAAACUUGUUUAUGCGAAA